UGACGGACCACACGCUUCCGUCACCAGCAGAUGAAAAAUUAUUGUUGCCGGGUGGUCAACUAACUGGGGUCAACAACAGUGGGUGUGACUUACCCAACAUGAUUGGGCAUUGGAUGAACUAACAAAAACGGCAGGGAAUGGAUUAUUACGACUCGUCCACAGCGUCAGGGGCCAAAGCAAAGUUUAUGACAAAGUGCUGGUCGAGCGAUGUGAAUGCCUGUCUCAGACAGCCCCGAGACAAGCUGACAACACCAUGAGGCUCUCGUUUCUCCCGUCCCUUCUACUGGUUCUUUUCCUCGUCUUUCACGGGCACGUCGGGAAGACAUCGGGAUGCGAUCGCCGGGACUCAGGUGAUUGGCCACCUCGCAAUAGGAAACCGCCCACACGUCCGUGGCGGGGACUGCUUCCAAAUGCUGACAGUCGGGAAUUCUCCGUGCUGCCAUCUGAAUCGCUGCUUCAAGAAGACAAAAAGAUCGAGAAUGGAUUUUUUUUAAAGUCUGGCGAUGGAAAACUCACGUGGCUGCCUGGCAAUGGAAAAGGACCAUCAACUUUUCCUGGACAGGAAUAAAUCACCAGUGUCGGGAUUGGGGGGGGGGGGGGGGGCUGAAGACACGACCGGAGUCCCCAAAGAUCAGCAAGCUGCCUGACCUACCACUGCCUCCACCACCACCUCUACGACCACCUUCUAAAGAGAGGGACACGCCAUUUGGGUUUUAUUUAGACAAUGAUUCGAUUGGAGAUAACCUGGAGAAAAAAUCAAACACGAUGUCUUCCACUAUGUCAAUAUACACAUUGAGAAAACGCUUAAUUUAUGCAAGAUUUUGUAUUGUUGACUUGUCAAUAAAACAACACAAAGCAUU